UUAGACACCAAGAGGGAGAAAAAGAUGGUGAAGGGAGCGAAAGAAACGAGUUUGGCAAAGAAAAGAAAAUGAAGAUGGGUUGACGAGAUUGGAAAUCAUUAGACGAGAUCAAAGGUUCAGUUAAUUAGUUUAUCGUAAUCAGCUAUACUUACUCUUGGUGGGAAACAGUCCUGCAAGCUAUGAUACAACCUCUGGUAUUCUGGUAUUCAGUUCAGACAAUUUUUCUAGAGAACUCAAUGCUAAAUAUAUGCAAAUAAGUGUAUUGUGAUAAGAAGCAGAGAAGGUUUUAUGUUUGUUGAUUAUGAGCUGACAUUAUUUCAAUAUACACGGUUUUCUAAAGAACGUAUUGUGAGUUAAUUCGAUUGAACUGCCAGUGGAUAUUGAUUCUCUUAUUCAUACACAAGUUUUGAUAUUAUUAUGGGUAUAGAUUGGUUUUUACUUCA